UUCCUUCUUUGGCGAACUCCUAGGAAGGCCCGUGUCCCGGCAGGACACGGCAGGAAAGAGCAGAGAGGACACAAGGAGGGAACCAGAGAGACUCCAGAAGGUUGAAGGCUGGAAUUAGGGGGUGAGGACCCGCGUCCUUCGAGCCUUGAGGGACAUAUGCAAAGAAUUGCUAAUUGCAACUAAACGAGGCCUCGGCGUGGGGGAAGGGGCAGCCCGGGCUGUCAGGGGCUACCGCCUCUUUGAGUGCCCGGGUAAGGCCAGGCCAGCCCGCUCUUCUCAUGUAAAGCAGCUUUUUGUCUGGGGGAGCCAGAGCUGGGGCCAGGGGCUGGGGAAGGGGCCCAAGCCUUUGGCAAGUUUCUUGUUCCCCAGAAAGGGAGAAGGGUGCCGAGGCCUCCUCGGAGUGAGGACGCCCCCUCCCACUAACUCCCCCACCCCUGUCCCUUCUCAAGCUUUUUAUGUGGGGGUUGAUGGGGUGCUGCCCAGCAGGAGGGGGUGGGCCUGGGAUCCUAGCACACACACACACACACACCCCUUGCUAGGCUGUGGGAAAGGACUGAGCACAAAGGAAAGGGCUGGCCCAGUGAGUUGGGAGACAGGGCAGCUCUGGUCCAGGGACGUCCUGAGCUUGGAGGAUCUAGCACUGGAACCCCUUCUCCCCAAGGAUGUCGUCAGGAGUUGCCCACGUGUUAUCUGGUUGCCCGAGUCUUUCUCCUCCUAGAAGUAGACCUUCCCUGUUUGUCCGCAGGAGAUGGGGUGGGGACAGGAUUUUAGCCUGCUUCCUAACAGACUAUGAGAGGAGAUAUCUUUGCU
rnacentral:lncRNA from 1 species